rnacentral:rRNA from 1 species
UGUUUCGGCUAGGGGGUCAUCCCGACUUACCAACCCGAUGCAAACUACGAAUACCGAAGAAUGUUAUCACGGGAGACACACGGCGGGUGCUAACGUCCGUCGUGAAGAGGGAAACAACCCAGACCGCCAGCUAAGGUCCCAAAGUCAUGGUUAAGUGGGAAACGAUGUGGGAAGGCACAGACAGCCAGGAUGUUGGCUUAGAAGCAGCCAUCAUUUAAAGAAAGCGUAAUAGCUCACUGGUCGAGUCGGCCUGCGCGGAAGAUGUAACGGGGCUAAACCAUGCACCGAAGCUGCGGCAGCGACACUAUGUGUUGUUGGGUAGGGGAGCGUUCUGUAAGCCUGCGAAGGUGACCUGUGAGGGUUGCUGGAGGUAUCAGAAGUGCGAAUGCUGACAUAAGUAACGAUAAAGCGGGUGAAAAGCCCGCUCGCCGGAAGACCAAGGGUUCCUGUCCAACGUUAAUCGGGGCAGGGUGAGUCGACCCCUAAGGCGAGGCCGAAAGGCGUAGUCGAUGGGAAACAGGUUAAUAUUCCUGUACUUGGUGUUACUGCGAAGGGGGGACGGAGAAGGCUAUGUUAGCCGGGCGACGGUUGUCCCGGUUUAAGCAUGUAGGCUGGUUGUCCAGGCAAAUCCGGAUAAUCAAGGCUGAGGUGUGAUGACGAGGCACUACGGUGCUGAAGUAACAAAUGCCCUGCUUCCAGGAAAAGCCUCUAAGCAUCAGGUAACAUUAAAUCGUACCCCAAACCGACACAGGUGGUCAGGUAGAGAAUACCAAGGCGCUUGAGAGAACUCGGGUGAAGGAACUAGGCAAAAUGGUGCCGUAACUUCGGGAGAAGGCACGCUGGUGUGUAGGUGAAGUCCCUGCGGAUGGAGCUGAGACCAGUCGAAGAUACCAGCUGGCUGCAACUGUUUAUUAAAAACACAGCACUGUGCAAACACGAAAGUGGACGUAUACGGUGUGACGCCUGCCCGGUGCCGGAAGGUUAAUUGAUGGGGUUAUCCGUAAGGAGAAGCUCUUGAUCGAAGCCCCGGUAAACGGCGGCCGUAACUAUAACGGUCCUAAGGUAGCGAAAUUCCUUGUCGGGUAAGUUCCGACCUGCACGAAUGGCGUAAUGAUGGCCAGGCUGUCUCCACCCGAGACUCAGUGAAAUUGAACUCGCUGUGAAGAUGCAGUGUACCCGCGGCAAGACGGAAAGACCCCGUGAACCUUUACUAUAGCUUGACACUGAACAUUGAGCCUUGAUGUGUAGGAUAGGUGGGAGGCUUUGAAGCGUGGACGCCAGUCUGCGUGGAGCCAACCUUGAAAUACCACCCUUUAAUGUUUGAUGUUCUAACGUUGGCCCCUGACCGGGGUUGCGGACAGUGUCUGGUGGGUAGUUUGACUGGGGCGGUCUCCUCCCAAAGCGUAACGGAGGAGCACGAAGGUUAGCUAAUCCUGGUCGGACAUCAGGAGGUUAGUGCAAUGGCAUAAGCUAGCUUGACUGCGAGCGUGACGGCGCGAGCAGGUGCGAAAGCAGGUCAUAGUGAUCCGGUGGUUCUGAAUGGAAGGGCCAUCGCUCAACGGAUAAAAGGUACUCCGGGGAUAACAGGCUGAUACCGCCCAAGAGUUCAUAUCGACGGCGGUGUUUGGCACCUCGAUGUCGGCUCAUCACAUCCUGGGGCUGAAGUAGGUCCCAAGGGUAUGGCUGUUCGCCAUUUAAAGUGGUACGCGAGCUGGGUUUAGAACGUCGUGAGACAGUUCGGUCCCUAUCUGCCGUGGGCGCUGGAGAAUUGAGGGGGGCUGCUCCUAGUACGAGAGGACCGGAGUGGACGCAUCACUGGUGUUCGGGUUGUCAUGCCAAUGGCACUGCCCGGUAGCUAAAUGCGGAAGAGAUAAGUGCUGAAAGCAUCUAAGCACGAAACUUGCCCCGAGAUGAGUUCUCCCUGAGACUUUAAGUCUCCUGAAGGAACGUUAAAGACGAUGACGUUGAUAGGCCGGGUGUGUAAGCGCAGCGAUGCGUUGAGCUAACCGGUACUAAUGAACCGUGAGGCUUAACCUU